UUCUUGAAGAAGAAUUGUCCCGAGAAAGCGAGCCUGCUGCCAGUUGGCUCUGUGUGACUUUUUCUUUCAUACUGUUUUUAGAACGUCGGGAUUUAUGGCCACGGGUGAUUUGUACUGACCCAAGGGAGACCAUUGAGGGAUUAAUCUAAUUAAACAAAGACAAAGGGAUAGAUGGAAACUUGGUUCUAGAAGAAUGACUUCUUGUUUCCUGGCAGCGACCCCUUCCAUCUGAAAAAGAGUACAGAUGUUUUUGGACAAUUCCUCACACUUUUGAAAAACAAUUUUUAUCCCCCCCCACCCCCAUGGACUUCACUGGAGGGUGAGGUAACGACUCAGGGGCAUGGGAGAGGCCGUGUUAUCCUGGCACGGCCUUCCGCCUCCCCUGUCCGUCUGCCCCAGCUACGGCUUGUGAUUUCAGUCGGGCGUCAUCUCAUCCAAGACUUCCUCCUCCGGGUCCUGCGGCCAUCACCGAUUCCUCCCGGUGCUGGAAGCCUGGCCACACAUCUGCCUGACCCGGUGGAGCAUGAACUUGUUUCUUCCAUCUGAUUCCCCAGAGCCUCCUGCAUUGUCCCCGUGCUCGUGUUUCAUAAACGCUCGUGGCCGAAGAGUGGCACUAUUUGGAGGCAUGGCCUUGUUGGGGGAAGCGUGUCACCGUGGGGGCGGGCUUUGAGGUCUCCUCUGCUCAAGCUACACUCGAGAGUGACAGACGCCUGCUGUUGCCCGAGGAUGGAGGUGUAAACCAACUCUCAGUGCCUUCUGCCUGCAUGCAUGCUGUCACGUUUCCCACCAUGAAGAUAAUGGACCAAGCCUCUGAAACCGUGACACGAACCUACCCUGCCUGUCACACAGGGCAAGACGCGUCCUCAUGACUGUUCGUUUGACUCCGCACUACAGCUCAGCCGUCUAGCAUGGUACCAGGAGCAAAGGAGACUUCCAGGACCUGGAGAUGUCGUCUGCAGUUCUGAAGAUGCUCACAGCCGUUGUCUGACUGAGAACAGCAGUGAAAGCCUGUCACCUCACGUGUGGAUCCAGAGUGUAUGGGAUUGUAACAGUGCAUGCUUGUUGACUGGGGCCCCACAUCCGACUGCCUGUGAAAUCCCCGUCUUGCAGAUGAGGAAAGGGGGAACAUAAAUCCUGCUGAAGUCACUGAAAGUCAUAAACCUUUGCAACGUUUGCAGCGUGUUCUCCUGAUUAAAGUUUUCCAGUCAAUGCAGGCCACAGUGCACCACAACAAUGCGGACUCUCUGUGGCGCCAGGGAAAUGGUACUUCUGAAUGGUUUCCAACUGACAUUGCUCAGGAGAAGGUUAUUUUUCCUUCAUAGCAUUGAUUUCUUAAGUAAAUCAUUUGACUCUGGAGUCAAGAGAAAAUGGAGUCUUUGCUUUUUGAAGUUAGUUCUUGCAAGGGGAACUUUUUUUUUUCUAAAGACACAUCAAACAUACACCCUGGGGCUGGGGAUGUAGCUCAGUCAGGAGAGUGCCUGUCCAGCGUGUACAAUGCUCUGGGCUUCAUCCCCAGGCCCCACAUAAACCAGGCAUCCUGCUGGCACAUACCAGUAAUCCUGGUGUGUGGGAGGUAUAAGCAAGAAGAAAAAAAAAAUUCAAGGCCAAUCUCCACUACACAGAGAGUUUGAAACCAGUCUGGGUUACUGAGACUUCAUGUCGAAACAGUUUUAACAUUGUUUUUAAGUAUGUUUUGCUUCCUUUUUUCUAAGCACUGUAUCACAAGGCUUUGCUGUUCGUCCUAUUCCAAAGCUUGAAUUUCUCAGUUCUUCCAAUGCAUUUGUCUCCCCGUUGGCUAAUAAAGCACCUGCCGCUCACACCA